rnacentral:misc_RNA from 1 species
UACGGAGGGAGCUAGCGUUGUUCGGAAUUACUGGGCGUAAAGCGCGCGUAGGCGGUCUAUUAAGUCAGGGGUGAAAUCCCGGGGCUCAACCCCGGAACUGCCUUUGAAACUGCUAGACUAGAAUCUUGGAGAGGCGAGUGGAAUUCCGAGUGUAGAGGUGAAAUUCGUAGAUAUUCGGAAGAACACCAGUGGCGAAGGCGACUCGCUGGACAAGUAUUGACGCUGAGGAGCGAAAGCGUGGGGAGCAAACAGG